rnacentral:rRNA from 1 species
UACGGAGGAUGCGAGCGUCAUCCGGAUUUAUUGGGUUUAAAGGGUGCGUAGGCGGACUGUCAAGUCAGCGGUAAAAUUGAGAGGCUCAACCUCUUCCCGCCGUUGAAACUGGUGGUCUUGAGUGGAUGAGAAGUACGCGGAAUGCGUGGUGUAGCGGUGAAAUGCAUAGAUAUCACGCAGAACUCCGAUUGCGAAGGCAGCGUACCGGCAUCCAACUGACGCUGAGGCACGAAAGCGUGGGGAUCAAACAGG